CCUCAAGUCUGUUAAUAUACUGUAUUACAUUUAUUGAUUUACCUAUGUUGAACCAUCCUUCCAUCCCUGAGAUGAAUCCUCACUUGGUCAGGGUGUAUGAUCUUCUUGAUGGUCCUCUGUAUUCUGUUUGCCAGUAUCUUGUUGAGGAUUUUUGCAUCUGUGUUCAUUAGGGGGAUUGGCCUGUAGUUCUCUUUUUUGGUUGGGUCUUUCUCUGCUUUUGGAAUCAAAGUAAUGCCUGCUUCCAGGAAUGAAUUUGGGAGUAUUGCUUCCCUUUCAAUGUAAUUAAAGUUUGAGAAGUAAUGGCAUUAGCUUUUCCCUAAAUUUUUUGUAGAAUUCAGGAGUGAAGCCAUCAGUACUUGUUUUUACUUUGUUUUUGAGGAAGGGUCUUCCUCUGGAGCUCAGGGCUAGCUUGAACUAUAAAGUUUGACUCUGUUUCAAAAAUAACAGAAAAAUAGAGAUAAGAAUAAAAUCAUCCUGGGUUUGAGCUCCAGCACUGAAAAAAUAUUUUAAAAAAUUUUAUGUACUGAUGAUGAAAAUUAUUAAUAUUUUUGUUUAAAAAAAUUGUUUUCAGACUAAAAAGCUCUACAAAUUGUAAGGCAGUAAAAAGUGAAAACAGUAUGGGGUCUCUCAAGAAAGAUUAAAUUAGAAAAAUAGAUUACUUAUAAAAGAAUGUGAGUCAGAUCAACAUCACAGUUAUCAAGAAAAACUCUGGAUAACAGAAAAUAUGUUACAGGUUUUAGGGUUCCAGAGCCUCCUUCUAGAGGUGGUUUCUAGGUUCUUUCCAUCCUGAGCAAAGAAUUGAUCAAGACAAAUACAAAUGGUAGCGAAGUUUUAUUAAAGGUAAGAAAAGAGACAGGCUAAUCAGAGUAAAUUUGGGCCAAAUAAAAGUAGGAAAAGAAGUACACCCUAGCUGGGAAUUUAGCUCAGUGGUUUCAGCGUCUGCCUUGCAUGCACAAGGUCCAGAGUUUGAUCCCCAGCACCCCCCCGCCCAAAGUACACCCUACAGUGUGAGUGCGGG
rnacentral:lncRNA from 1 species